UAAUACGGAGGGUGCGAGCGUUGUCCGGAAUCACUGGGCGUAAAGGGCGCGUAGGCGGCUCGGUAAGCGUGCGGUGAAAGCCUGGGGCUCAACCCCGGGUCGGCCGUGCGAACUGUCGAGCUGGAGCACUGUAGAGGCAGGCGGAAUUCCGGGUGUAGCGGUGGAAUGCGUAGAGAUCCGGAAGAACACCGGUGGCGAAGGCGGCCUGCUGGGCAGUAGCUGACGCUGAGGCGCGACAGCGUGGGGAGCAAACAGGAUUAGAUACCCUGGUAGUCCACGCCGUAAACGAUGGGUACUAGGUGCUUGGGGGAGCGACCCCCUGGGUGCCGGCGCUAACGCAUUAAGUACCCCGCCUGGGGAGUACGGCCGCAAGGCUG
rnacentral:rRNA from 1 species